CUUCACCGAUCCCAGCCACAGCGGCCGGGUGCGCGGCCGUCCUUGUCCGUACGUGGCGAGGAGCGCCUGGGCCUC
rnacentral:antisense_RNA from 1 species